rnacentral:ncRNA from 1 species
UGAAAGGCAGUGAUUAAGAGGAGUAACACCCGAUUGUUUUUCAGAGAGUUGACGGUUGGUGCAAGUCAGCAGGCAGACGGUGUGAAGGUAGCUUAUGAGCCGAUAGGAUGAAGUAGCAGUAGUUCUAUCCGUAUUUCUGCGUUAAGGAAAUGAGUGGCACAGUCGCUACACUGUGCAAUUUGAGUGGUACCACGGAUUUAUUCGCCUCAUAU